rnacentral:rRNA from 1 species
GAGUUUGAUCCUGGCUCAGAACGAACGCUGGCGGCGUGGAUAAGACAUGCAAGUCGAACGAGAGAAUUGCUAGCUUGCUAAUAAUUCUCUAGUGGCGCACGGGUGAGUAACACGUGAGUAACCUGCCCCCGAGAGCGGGAUAGCCCUGGGAAACUGGGAUUAAUACCGCAUAGUAUCGAAAGAUUAAAGCAGCAAUGCGCUUGGGGAUGGGCUCGCGGCCUAUUAGUUAGUUGGUGAGGUAACGGCUCACCAAGGCGAUGACGGGUAGCCGGUCUGAGAGGAUGUCCGGCCACACUGGAACUGAGACACGGUCCAGACACCUACGGGUGGCAGCAGUCGAGAAUCAUUCACAAUGGGGGAAACCCUGAUGGUGCGACGCCGCGUGGGGGAAUGAAGGUCUUCGGAUUGUAAACCCCUGUCAUGUGGGAGCAAAUUAAAAAGAUAGUACCACAAGAGGAAGAGACGGCUAACUCUGUGCCAGCAGCCGCGGUA